ACACACACACACACACACACACAGACACACACAAUUUCGAGUUUAUGUCUGCUGAAGACUUGCUCGUUUUCUCCUGAUUGUUGCGAACAUCUCGUCUGUUUUCGUGUGUUCUGUGCGUUCCCGCGACUCUGACACGAUGAAGAUGAUGAUGAUGAUGAUGAAGGCCGGAUCAUCCAUCAUUCCUGUCACAGGCGCAAUUCAGUCCACCUCCUGUCGCCUAUUAAUAUUAAAAUCAGCUCACCGCUCUUCCUUUCACUUCUCUCUUUCUUUAUUUCAGAUCACAUUCUAGAAUUUCGAUUUAAUGAAAUGAAUUAUUUGCACGUCUAUUUUCUCGAAUAAACAAUCAUUAAAAUUAUAUUUGUUAUUUUGUGAUUCUUUGUUAAUAAACACACUUAAAUAAACAGGCUGAAAUGAAUUGAAAUAAUUUGAAUCUCUAUAAUAACGUGCACCACGCUAAUAAAAAGCGCAAAACGCACAUCUUUAUUAUUCUAUGUAUUUAUUUCACAGAAACAGAAAUAUCUGCUCGUGAUUAUUUCGUGUCGUUCGAGGAUUUCACGAUGAAACGCACCAAUUUGAUAUUUAGUCACAGUGAUGUUCAUAUUUUGUAAAUUAAUAAUUACCGUUGGUAUGCAUUUAAAUUAUUAAUACUGUAAUUCAGCUUUUCACAAAUAAUUAAAAACCUUCUUUGGGGAAACGCCUGUUUCUUUUAUUCAUCAUGAGACAUUCAGUGCAAAUAAACCCUUCAGGAAAAAUUCAGGAAAACAUAUUAAACAUUAAAGUAACGAAGAAAGACUCACUUUCACAUCAAGCUCUUGAAACAUGUGCACUCGUGUGUUUCUCAGUGCGAGGUGAUGUUGGUCUUUCCUGAAGCGCGUCUUAAUGCGUUUAGCGCGUGUCAUUCGUAGCGUCUAUUGCGCACGUGAGCGUCCUCUUCGUUGUAAUCGCCAAUUUAUAAUUUUACCAGCAUGUAUAAAUGCUGUUUGUAAUAAUAAUAAUAAUAAUAAUAAUAAUAGUAGUAGUAGUACUGUUGUGCCGUGGUGCAGCGGGUGUAGUGUGAAAGAGCUCCAGCAGGAGGCGCCGCGGAGACUCGAGUCUCACACUGGACACCAUCACUGUCCUUCAGCCCUUAAACCUCAAACUGCCCCUCUGUUAGGCCAGCAGCUGAAGUCAGCGGAAGCUCUUGGGUUUGUUCUGUGUCAAAAACAAACAUCUUAAGAGGAAGAUCGGAUUUAGAGAACAUUAACGCGCCAGGAUCCCUUCCAGAACAACAAUACUGAAAAACACUGCUCACCGAGCCUGAAGUCUUUACGAGCAUAUUAAAUAAGAAUGAUGAAUUAUAUAGUAUGCAUCGUUAUAUAUUAGUCAUUGUUUAUGUAUUACAGAUCUGAUAUUAUUUCCACGUGCGACACACCGUACAGCACACAAGAAUCUACCAAAAUCAAAAAUGAAAUAUUUAUUACAGCAUUUGUGACUGAACACCUUUGAAACAUCACGCCACAGUCCUCAUACAAGUACUGAAUGUAUUUCUGACAAAGCUCGAGGGAGACAGGAUCUCAUCUUCUAGUGGAGCACGUGCUGAUAAAGGAGGGGGGGUCAUGGACAUAACAAUAUCAAUGCCACAGCAGAUCUGAAACUAGCAAAAACAUUCGUCUUCAAUUGAGGUAAACACAUAGAAUAUCUAACAUGAAACAAUUAAUAGACUGAA
rnacentral:lncRNA from 1 species